rnacentral:lncRNA from 1 species
AUUUAAUUCCUAGGGGUUUAAUACUUUAUAAAACAAGACAGCAUGAUAAAGAAUUAUUGGCAGACUGAAUCUGGAGGGGAAAAAAAUUCCAAAGCAAUCUCUUCCUCUUUAGAAUUUAAGGGAAUUACAAGUUUAUAAGCACACAGUUCCUGCACUGGACUAAGUGGUUUGUCUAUACCUACUCUUUUAAUCCUUGGAACAAUCUAGCAAGGUAGAUGUUAUCGCCUUUUACAGACUGGCUCCGAGAGGUUAUUACACAACUUGAGCUAAGAAGUAGCAAGAGAAAACUACGAACCAAGAUCCAUAAAGUUCAAAAUAUUGUCACUAAAAAGGUAUGCCUCCCCACCACAAAUCUCCCCAAGUGAGCACCUGUUCCGGAUUUUAAUACCAGAGGGAUUUACUCUAGGAUGGGGAAAAUGAGAUAAGGAAUAGGACAACACUCUGUAAACUAAACAUUAACCUAAGAAAGAGUCAACAUCAUGGGACAACCACAAGCACCCGAGUGCUGUCUGCUUGUCACACUUGGGUAGCAACUGUCUUGACAAAUGGAAAGCGACAUGGCCCAACAUUAGCCCCAACUGACAGAGUGGCAAGUGACCAAAGGUGCCUCAUGUGCCCAGUCCAUUCGGCUGUCCAAGCUGAAUCACGGAAGGGGGAAGAGGCGGCCAUGCCAAUAGCUGUCAGGGUGACAAGACCCAGGCGGGGCUGCUUUAGAGACAAACGUCACGAUCAGCUGUCUUUAUAACAUCAUCUAGAUGCUGGGCGGCACAUUCUACAAAACACUAGGCUUUAAACACAGUAAGCAUUGGGUACUGGUGGAUAUAAAGAUGAGGCAGUGCCUAGCCUGCCCAAUCGCACACAAAAAACCUAGCAGCAAACAGCCAGAGCGGUCACGGACACGGCAGACUCACACACACACUGUGGGAACUCAAGGGCACGAACCAUCUUGGCCUUGGCUUGCAAGGAGCAAGAGGGAGUCCAGUGGAGACACUCGAGCUCUGUCUUGGAGGUGAAAAUUCCAGUCAAAGGGAACAACGUGUCCAGGGGCAUGGAGUCGUGAAGCUAUGUGGCAUAUUUCUGGACCAGCAAGUGUUCGGGAAGGCAAGAAAACAGGGUGGGGGAGGAUGGUGCAGGACAACAGGAAGGCGAGGGGGGCGGGUGGCUCCCGUGCACCAUGCCUACCAGCUGGACUUUAUCCCGUACGCCGUGCAAUGCUAGCAAGUUUCCAGAAAAGAUCUGGGUGUAAACAACAGCCUGACACUGGUGUGGCGGGUGGACUGCAGCCAAGAAGGCAGGCAGGAGCUCCCGUUGUGGCUAAGUGGGUUAAGAAACCAAAUAGGGUCCAUGAGGAUGUGGGUUCGAUCCCUGGCCUUACUCAGUGGGUUAAGGAUCCAGCAUUGCCAUGAGCUAUCUUAACCUGCUGCACCAGAGUGGGAACUCUGAGCUCUUUCUAGUAGGAAAAUGUCCUGCUCAGAAUUCGCUAGUUGUCCCCAUCACCAGGGGCUUCAAGUCCACUCUCUCCGCAGAAAUCCAGCUGAGCACUGCCCACAGCUGCGCUAGGGGAGUGGUGGAGGCCACACAUGCUGGGGGCAGAACUAACAGAUCUGGCAACUGACUAGAUGGGAGAGAACAGGAGGGAACAGGCUUGGGGAACCGGGUUUCUGGCCUGGACCACUAAUGGAAGAUGGUCUGGCACUGAGGAGAGAGAACGCAGGAGGAGCAAGCAGGCGCUGCAGGAGGAGGAAGAGUUAAAUUCUGGGACAUUGUCAUUUCUAGCACCUGUGGGAGACCCGUGCCAUGUCCAAAGUGCUGAGCAGAGGGCCCGGCCCUGAGAAGAGCCAAGUAAGAUGUGCUGGCAAAAAAGUCUCCCAGGAAGACUUCCUCCUUCACUCUGAAACGGCUCCUGCAAGGUCACCCACAACACCCCUGUGGGUAAAUGCAGUUUUCUUAUGUCAUCUUAACUUUUCCCUCCUGGAAAUAACCUCCCCAGGGCACUGAGAGACAACAAUACCCCACGGGAGUCCCCUUUGUGGCUUAGCAGUUAAGGAAUCUGACUAGGAUUCAUGAGGUUGCGGGUUUGAUCCAUGGCCUCACUCACUGGGUUAAGGAUCCGGCGUUGCCGUGAGCUGUGGUGUAGGUCGCAGAUGUGGCUCAGAUCCCGAGCUGCUGUGGCUGUGGUGCAGGCCCGCGGGUGUAGCUCUGAUUCAUCCCCUAGCCUGUGAACUUCUGUAUGCUGCAGGUGCGGCCCUAAAAAGCAAACAGCAACAACAAAAAAACAAUACCCCACAGCUGCCUCUUUUCAGUCUCCCUUGCUGCUUCUCCUUCCUAAUCCAGCCUAUAAAUGCCCAUAGAGCCCAGGGCCUGUUUCUCAGCUCCUGCUCUACCCACACUCCUCAAACAAUCUCACCCAUCCCUACGGUUUUAAAAAACAUUUUAUUAUACAAAUUUCAAUUGACUCUAAAACGGCAUAUUGAAACCCAUGGAUCUAUCAACACUGCAUUCUUAUGUGCUGACAACUCUCCAAUGCUGUCCAGACAUCUCCCGUGAGGAGUCAGAGGUCCAGCAGGCCAACUGCUUAGCUGGCCUUUCUAUCUGAAUAGUGCACGGCCAUCUCAAACAAACUUCACCAGGUCCACUGCCCUGGAUCCGCCCCUUCCCCACCCACACCUGUUCCUCCUCCUCUGAAUUCCUAGCAAGCUCUCAGUGGCCAGCACCUCGUGUGCCUUAUUCACUGACGCUUCCCAACAGCACCUGGCAGGUGGCCGGCACGCUCACCUAGGCAACAAACAGCUCUAGGUAAAUGGCACCAGCAUCCUCCCCACUGGCCAUUACCUUGAUUCUGUCCCCCUUUCAAAGCCAGACUGGUAUUUUAUUUUUUAUGUUUUCCUUUUUAGGGCCACACCUGCAGUGUAUGGAAGUUCCUAGGCUAGGGGUCAAAUUGGAGCCGCCGCUGUUGGCCUGAGCCACCGCCACGUGGGAUCUGAGCCACAUCUGUGACCGAUGCCACAACUUGCAGCAAUGCCAGAUCCUUAACCCACUGAGCAAGGCCAGGGAUGGAACCUGCAUCCUCAUGGAUACCAUGUCAGGUUCUUAACCCACUGAGCCACAACGGGAACUCUCCAGACUGAUCUUUUAAAAAUGUAGAAUAAAAUGCAAACUCUCUAAAUAGCUGUAAGGCCUGGAAUUUUCUGGCCCCUGCUCCUUGCCACCUGUCCUGUUUUCCUUUCACUCCUGCCUCCUAGAUUUUUCUGGGGUUUCCCAGCAUGUCUGACUCCUCCCCUUCAGGGCUUUCAUGCCCACUGACCCUUCAGGUCUCAGUAUGACAUCACCUUGUCCGAGAGGCCUUCCAUGACCUCAUGUGGGAAGCUCCCUGAUUUUGUCC